rnacentral:rRNA from 1 species
UACGUAGGGGGCAAGCGUUGUCCGGAAUCAUUGGGCGUAAAGAGCGUGUAGGCGGCCCGAUAAGUCCGCCGUGAAAGUCCAGGGCUCAACCCUGGAAUGCCGGUGGAAACUGUCGGGCUGGAGUCCGGAAGAGGCGAGUGGAAUUCCCGGUGUAGCGGUGAAGUGCGCAGAUAUCGGGAGGAACACCAAUGGCGAAGGCAGCUCGCUGGGACGUGACUGACGCUGAGACGCGAAAGCGUGGGGAGCAAACAGG